CACUCUUACACAACCCCAAGCACCCUGACGGACCUCCUGCACCCGCCCCAGCUCGCUUGGACCAUGUCACCGAACCUCACUUUUUUCCACUUUUCCCGACUUAGAAUUUUUUGAGGCUCCUCCUGUCCUCCAAGGACCCAACCAUACCAAGUCCAAAUAAGAUCCCAACGUGCUCCUACACUUCGUUUCCACUCCAGCCUUCACGU
rnacentral:ribozyme from 1 species